rnacentral:rRNA from 1 species
AACGAACGCUGGCGGCAGGCCUAACACAUGCAAGUCGAGCGCCCCGCAAGGGGAGCGGCGGACGGGUGAGUAACGCGUGGGAAUAUGCCCUUUGCUACGGAAUAGUCUCGGGAAACUGGGGGUAAUACCGUAUACGCCCUUUGGGGGAAAGAUUUAUCGGCGAAGGAUUAGCCCGCGUUGGAUUAGGUAGUUGGUGGGGUAAUGGCCUACCAAGCCGACGAUCCAUAGCUGGUUUGAGAGGAUGAUCAGCCACACUGGGACUGAGACACGGCCCAGACUCCUACGGGAUGCAGCAGUGGGGAAUCUUAGACAAUGGGGGCAACCCUGAUCUAGCCAUGCCGCGUGAGUGAUGAAGGCCUUAGGGUUGUAAAGCUCUUUCAGCUGGGAAGAUAAUGACGGUACCAGCAGAAGAAGCCCCGGCUAACUCCGUG